AGUUAUUGUCAAGGAAAAGAAAAUACUAUUUGUUUCCUUGUACUUUCUGAUAUGGGGUGAAGCAGCCAAUGUCAGAUUCAUUCCAGAAUGCUUGUGCUACAUAUUUCAUCAUAUGGCAAGAGAAUUAGAUGAAAUUUUAAGGCAGCAGGUUCCACAGCCAGCCAAUAGUUGCAAGUCUGGGGAUAAUGUUUCAUUCCUUGAUCAAGUUAUAUUUCCUCUCUAUGAUGUUUUGGAAGCGGAAACAAGAAGUAAUAAAAACAGAAAAGCACCACACUCUGUCUGGCGCAAUUAUGAUGAUUUUAAUGAG